rnacentral:rRNA from 1 species
CACGUAGGAGGCGAGCGUUGUCCGGGAUCAUUGGGCGUAAAGAGCGUGUAGGCGGCCCGGUAAGUCCGCUGUGAAAGUCGGGGGCUCAACCCUCGAAUGCCGGUGGAUACUGUCGGGCUAGAGUGCGGAAGAGGCGAGUGGAAUUCCUGGUGUAGCGGUGAAAUGCGCAGAUAUCAGGAGGAACACCGAUUGCGAAGGCAGCUCGCUGGGACGUAACUGACGCUGAGACGCGAAAGCGCGGGGAGCAAACAGG